rnacentral:lncRNA from 1 species
AUAAUACUACUACAUAGCCCAUACAGAUCUGGUGUCACAAGUCUCGAGCCUCUAGUACAAGUUUAACAGCCUAAUACAUAAUCAGUCUAGGAAAUGCGGAUAAAACGAAAGGAUAGAAGGGAGAGAUCCGGAUUGCGGACGUCGUGCAGCUACCUCGAUGCUCCCGGAUAUGAACUGAUCGACUGAAACUCCUCACUCAGCCUCUGGAACACCUGGAUCUGCACGGAAGGUGCAGUGAGUAAUGUGAGUACUCCGACCCAGUGAGUAAUAAGCAUAAAUAAUGACUGAGAAUAAGAAAUCACGGAAAACACAGAGUAAUCUAUAAUGCGGCAGUUUAAACAGGUAAUAUGAAAGCAAUAAACAAAUGGAAACGAAAUAUGGUAAUGCUACAACAAAUAAGCAGUUAAGUGAUAUACAUAUAAAGAAAAUCAACACAUAGAAUGGUACCCUAGAGUACCCGCUGCGGCGUGCAGCCCGAUCCAUAUAUUUCGUUGACGGCGCUCACUGGGAUGUGCAGACUCCGGGAGGGACCCCUUACGGCCCAAGCGCAAUAUCAAGCCAUCUAGUGGCAUCAAAUCUGGGCCCUCGGCCUCAUAUCAACAGAAUGCCAUUUAGCUAAAUUUUCAUGAAUUUCUAGGUUAAUUUCACAAUAGAAUCACAUUUUACGCUCAUAAAUCUUACCUCCAAUCACUUCUCCUCGAAUCUCUCUUUAAUUUCCCUCAAAGAGCUCUCAAAAUACUCAGCUAUGGUGGAAAAAUGGUUCAAAAUCGCGAAUGAAAUAUUUAAUAAACUCACUACCCAGACGUAACUGCAUCUGCGGUCCAAUAGCCGCUUCUGCGGUACCGCUUCUGUGGUUAUUUUUCCACAUCUGCGGAAUUUCACUUACAUGGCCAUCACCGCAUCUGCGGUCCUCUCACCGCUUCUGCGGCUCCGCAGGUGCGGUCCCCCUUCCGCAUCUGUAGUUCCAGGCAUUCCCCAGACUUUCCGCUUCUGCCACCCAAAUCACGGAUCUGCGAUACCGCACCUGCGGUCCCCAAACCGCAGGUGCGAAAACACUAACAGUAACAGAAAAUCAGCUAUCCCCCAAGUUCCAAAACUUCCCAUUAGCCAUCCGAAAUCACCCCGAGGUCCCCCCAGGACCUCAACCAAAGGCACCAACACAACCCAAUACCUCAUUCAAACUUGUUCCAAUCAUCAAAACACCUCAAACAAUGCCAAUUCCAUCAAUUCAUGUCGAAUUCAAGACUAAGUUUUCUAAAAACUUCCGAAAUACGUUUUCGAUAAAAAAAACCAACCAAACCACGUCCGAAUGACCUAAAAUUUUGCACACACAUCCCAAAUGAGAUAACAAAGCUAAACAACUCUGGUAAUUCUAUUCCGACCCAUGAAUCAAUAUCUCACCUAUCAACCGGAAAUUGCCAAAAUACUAACUUUGCCAAUUCAAGCCUAAUUCUACACCGGACCUCCAAAACCACUUCCAAUCACACUCCUAAGUCACAAAUCACCUCCCAAAGCUAACCGAACCAUCGGAACUCACAUCCAAGCCCUCUAACUCAUAAGUCAACAUCCGGUUGACCUUUCCAACCUAAGCCUUCUUAAAAGAGACUAAGUGUCUCAUUUCUUACCAAUACUACACCAAACGCAAACCAAUCAACUCGACCAGAUAAAACACGGAAAACAAAGCAUAAAGAAGCAGAAAUGAGAAAAACAGAGAGGUAAUUCAUGAGACGACUGGCCGGGUCGUCACAUCCUCCCCAAAUUAAACAAACGUUCGUUCUCGAACGAGUCAAGAAACGUACCUGAAGCCUCAAACAGGUGAGGAUAUCUACUCCGCAUCUACCGCUUGGUCUCCCAGGUAGCCUCCUCCAUGGGCCAAGCUCUCCACUGCACUUUCACUGAAGCUAUAUCUUUUGACCUCAACUUCCGAACCUGGCGACCCGAAAUAGCUACUGGCUCCACAUCAAAGGUCAAAUCAUCAUCCAACUGAACCGUGCUGAAGUCCAAAACAUGAGACGAAUCUCUAAUAUACUUCCGGAGCAUAGAUACAUGAAAUACCGGAUGCACGCUAGAUAAGUUGGGUAGCAACGCAAGCUCAUAAGCCACCUCCCCAAUCCUCCGAAGUACCUCAAAAGGCCCAAUAAACCGCAGACUCAACUUCCCUUUCUAUCCAAAUCUCAUAACACACUUCAUGGGCGAAACCUUUAACAAAACCUUCUCACCCACCAUAUAGGACACAUCCCGAACAUUUCGGUCCGCAUAACUCUUCUGACGUGAUUGCGCUGUACGAAGUCUCUCCUGAAUCACCUUCACCUUCUCUAAGGCAUCCUGAACCAAAUCUAUCCCUAAUAGCCUAGUGUCACACCUCCUUUUUACCACCCCCAAAAGGGUAUAAGGGAGUUUUUUCCAAUUUAAGUGACAAUCGAAAUGGAAUUAUUUAUUUAUUAAAUUCAGAGUCACCACUUGGGAUAAUUUUAUGGUGUCCCCAGUCACCGGUUUAAAUCCCGAAUCGAGGAAAAGAUUGACUCUGUUAUACAGUCUGCGAACACAGAAUUUCGGGUAAGGAAUUCUGUUAAUCCUGGAGAAAGUGUUAGGCAUUCCCAAGUUCCGUGGUUCUAGCACGGUUGCUUUGAUCAUACUUGGCUUAUUAAAAUUGUUUAAUUACUCAUUUUGGAACCUAUGUGUGUUUACCUCUUUCACCACUUUUAAUUAAGAAAAUUAUCUUGAAACGGGUUACGCGUACGUAUACCUAUUUUUUUGGCGCAUCAAAAAUCAUGUCACGCCACGUGUCCAUAAUUAAUAACGCUUUAUUAUUAUUAUUAGGAAAGUUUGGCCAAAGUUGCGCGAACACAUACUCCCGUUUUGUUUUUAAAAUCGUAAUCAUGUCACGCGAACGUGUCCACAACCACAAUAGUAUAUUAAACAUGCCUAAAGCAAACUACGAAUAUUUGUCAUUUAUAUAUCUAAGUUAUUAAUAUGAGGGCCAUGAAUAAUUAGAUCGUAUAUGGCACACCUCAGACUAUAUAAACCUAAUUAAUUAGUGACCUAUUAAAACAAUUUUACUAUUAAGAAAAUAUGUUCGAAGUGGCGCGAAUGCAUACUCCGAUUUAUUUGGAAUCGUGAUUAUGUUACGCGAACGUAUACACAAUCACGAUAUAUGCUAAUUCAACUAUAAUGACUAACUGAAUUACAAAAACUACAUAUCUUCCAUUCCAAGUAAUUAUAAAAACAUAACUCGUGGGGGAUUAUUAUAGAAUUCCUUUUGUGAAGAUGAAACAGUGUAAAAACUACAUAUUGCACUUCUUAAAGUACCUGAAGGAUGGAAAGAUGCUAAACAUUAUAGAAAAUAAAGAGUUUUCUGUUGGAAAAAGUCCUUGUCUCCUGCGUAUAUCAUUAAUAAAAAAAAGUCACAAAUAAGUGCCAUUACAAUAUUAAUCUGGAUUGUUACAAUGGGGAUGAAAAUACCAGACAAAAGACCUAUGGAUUUAUCGUCUCCUGAAUCAAACUUCAUUCAAGCAAUACCAAUAUUCCUUCCUAUCUUCAAUUUAUUUCAACAAGGCAAGACUAGCUAUCUUAACAUUUGAGAUAAGAAAUAAAAAAUAACAACCAAAAAUGUGACAGAAGAGACUGCAAUACCAAAGGUUUGGACUAAAGAAUCUUGACAUAAGAAAUAAUUAGAAAUAGAGAGCGACAUAUACUACGAGUCAAGAAACAUUCAGGCGAUUAAAUGUGUAGGCAACGACCAAACAAAAGUUUGCCUGUGUAAUUAGUUUUGGAACAUGGCUACUGUUUCAACAACCCAAGGAACCACUUCAAUUCAUUCUAAGCCAGGAAUUGUAGAACAUUUUAGAGGGAUCUAGCAGAACCAACAAUGAGAGCAAUUUCAGAGGAGUUUCAGCACUCACCUCACGAAAUACCAACUGCCAAAUGAAAAUCACUGGACUACUCCUAAGUAUUGCUAAUUUACAGAAGUCUUAGAGUGUUUGGUCAUGUGUCUAAUUUCAGGUUAUAAAGCAGAUUCACACGGAUUAAGGCUUAACACAAAGACUUCAGCUAUUCAAAUGAAAACCAACCGUUUCAGUCGUUCAAAUGAAAACGUAACACAAAGGGUAUACAACUUACUUCAUUAAACCAUGAAUUAACUAAGAUGAACUAAAAAUGAGGCUAAGACAAAUCAGGACAAAGCUCAAACAGUCCAAGUAGCAGAUUAAUGCGUUUCGAAUGCAUCAAGCUUUAGUAGAAAAGUAGAGAAGUCUUCUUCUAAGGAAGCCAGCAGAAAGUUUAUUGCAUAAACAAAACCAAAUAACUGAUGAUCUUGCUGACAAGAGAUCAAUUAAAUGAUAAAGCUAACUUCCAUACAUUCUAAAACCUCGAAAGAUAGCAGAAAGAGCAAUUGAACUUGCAACCUACCAACUGACAAUGAAUUUGCAGUAGAUGAAUUAGCAGGUCAACGGCAAAUAGAUCAACCAUUGCAAUGUACCUUAAUGAUAAACUAAGACAUCUUAACAGAUCUGACCCAAAGCCAAAUAGAGCUCAGAAACAGAGUAAAAUUACAGACACUAGCUUUCACGGUUCACACUAAACCAUGACGGGAUAUGAACACACAAAAACACUGAAACAUAAAUAAUAAAGAAUUGGAGAAGAAAUGAACCUGAGUUGAGAAAAACUUAGAUUAAUUCUUCUUUGAACACAAUACAAGUGAAUUCGAUGAUGAAAGCUCAAGAACACAUUUGUUACAGCGUGUCGGGAUGUAAAAACUUUGAACUCGAACAACCAACUCAAUCUUGGCUCAAUCCAUCUCCAUUUUUGAGGAAAAUCAGAGAAAGAUAAUGAAAUUUCUUUUGGUUUUCAGACUUGUGAAACAGAACUAAGACCAGAGCAAAAGAAACUGAAAAAAUAUUUUAGACCUCCUUCUCCGGAAUUGAAUUGAGAACACGCAAAAAGAAACCGUGAAGAAAACUAAGGGAUUUUUUCAAAAAAAAAAAGAAACUUUUCUCUCCAAAUAUCAGACUCCCCAAAAAUCUUCCGAAAAAAAAUCAACCCCCUCCCCCUACAAGAAAAGGAUGUCACCUUAUAUAGACUUCCCCAAUUCUCGAAACGUCUAUUCCUCUUUCCAAAAAUCUUCCGAGCCAAGAAAUACUCUCCCAAAAACUGAUUUUAUCCCUUUUUCUAAUGCAAAGGGGUCAAAUGGAUGGAGUAGAUCAACUUGAAUCUGAUCUAACGCUCCCCAUUUUUCCUCGCUUCAUCUGAAGGUUGAAAGAAUCCGCAAAAAAUUGAAGAGAGCAUGUGAGGGAGAGGGAAUCUGUCAGAAACAAUUGUAAUAUAGUAGGAGGAGAGAAGGGAAACGUGAGGUGCGAGAUUGAUGCUCACUCGCCAAGGGUUUUUAGUGAUUUAAGGAGUGGAUUCAGGUGUUUUUGUUUUGGAGAAGAAGAACAGUAUGCGUCUCUUGGUUUAG